rnacentral:rRNA from 1 species
CACCGCCCGUCACAUCAUGAAAGCCGUUUGUACCCGAAGUCAGUGGGCCAACCGCAAGGGGGCAGCUGCCGAAGGUAUGGAUGGUGAUUGGGAUG